AUCCCUUUCUUCAACCCCUUUCUGUUUGGUAGUGCUAGUAGGGCUCCUGUGUGCCAGCCAGGCCAGCACCACUGCAGGCCUCCCUGCCGGAGGUAACUUCUGAGAACCUGGUCAAAGCACCUUUCCCACUGUUAAGGAUUCACUUGUCACUUUCGACAGAGGCAGUAGUGGGGACUUCGUUUUGGCACAGGCUCGGGAAAGCACUGAAGGCUGCCAAUAAACAACUGUUGAAUGAGAAAA
rnacentral:lncRNA from 1 species